UCUUCAUUCUUCACACUUUCUCAGUCAGAUAGGCGAGAGAGUGUGUGAAAUGAAGAGA
rnacentral:pre_miRNA from 1 species